GUUGAAACUCACCUUAAUCCCUAUUAGGGAUUGAAAC
rfam:Rivularia sp. PCC 7116, complete genome.